rnacentral:rRNA from 1 species
UCGAACGAGAAAGCCCUUCGGGGUGAGUAAAGUGGCGAACGGGUGAGUAACACGUGGGCAACCUGCCCCUCGCAGGGGGACAACCGGAGGAAACUCCGGCUAAUACCCCGUAAGUUCUCAGGGUCGCAUGGCUCUGGGAGGAAAGGUAGCUUCGGCCAUCCGGCGAGGGAUGGGCCCGCGGUGCAUUAGCUAGUUGGUGGGGUAACGGCUCACCAAGGCAACGAUGCAUAGCUGGUCUGAGAGGAUGAUCAGCCACACUGGGACUGAGACACGGCCCAGACUCCUACGGGAGGCAGCAGCCAGGAAUCUUGGGCAAUGGGCGCAAGCCUGACCCAGCAACACCGUGUGGGCGAUGAAGGCCUUCGGGUCGUAAAGCCCUGUUGAUAGGGACGAAGGGCGAAGGGUUAAUAGCCCCUAGCCUGACGGUACCUUUCGAGGAAGCCCCGGCUAACUACGUGCCAGCAGCCGCGGUAAUACGUAGGGGGCGAGCGUUG